GAAGUGUGUGAGUGCAGUGAGAGGGUUUUGAAAAUGAUGGAGGAGAGGCCCUAUGGCUGUGUGAAGUGUGUCUGUGAGGGAGGGGCAGAGAGGAGUGUGUGAGAUGAGGUGGUUGUGUGUUGAAGUGUGUGAGUGCAGUGAGAGAGUUUUGAAAAUGAUGGAGGAGGC